ACCUAACUAGAUAAGAUAGGUGAAGGUAAGAAUUGCAUUCUGCCAGGAAUCGGAAAAAGAUUUUUCCUGAGAGACAAUGAUACAGCAUGUCAAAUACAGAAGUGAAUGCUAGUAAAAAACCAGUGAACUAAAAACGGACCUGCUCUUGGUAAACUUAAAAAAAGGAUUAGAAGAGCUUAAGGUACUUUCAACCCCAUAAGAACAACAAUGCCAAUGAACCAGGGCUUUCUCUUACUGUACGAAUACACAAAGAAAGUACAUGGACUGAGGAAUGGCUCCAAAUUCAUAUAUGGCAAUGGAUGUAAUUUUUGAUCAACAUUGGAAAGAGAAGCCCUUGUCCUCCCUUGUACAUCUUUCAGUUCAAGGGAAUGUCAUGCGGGAGAAAGGCUGGUUAGAGAAAAAGGAAAUGGGAAUGUGUAGGGAUCUUAUGCUCAGGAAACUCAGAAAGGAAAUAAUAUUUGAAAUUUAAAUAUAGAAACAUCCCGUUAAAAAAAAAACAAUAAAAUUUGCUAAAAAUAAAAAAGAAAGAUAUAAAAGAAAGUAAAAGCUGUCAAGUAAUCACACAUAUUGACUCGUAAAUGUGAAGUGGCAGAGUAAUACUAGUGGAAAGACUGAGAUGAUGAAGUCUCAACUAGAAGCACUUCUGUCACGUUAAUAUUAGUGGCAGACAAAAAAAUCACUAUUGGUGUCCAAAGCAUGUUGUUUACUUCGAGAUAGCAACACAAUAUUUGUACUUCCCUUCUUCGUUAGUACCUUUCUUCUUGACAAAAACAGUAAAGGUCAUGAGCUCUGGAAAACAAUUGUGCUCUUCACAAUACUUGGGUUUUGUAAUAAAGAAAUGAAUGAUAUAAACUAUUUGAAUUUUAGGAACCAUAAGAACAGGGAAGUUCAGAUGCUUCUAAGAGACUUGCAGCUCAUGAUUCCCAUAUGUGGAAGGUUCAAAAAAGGCUAUCUCUUUAGCGAUCCCACACAAAUCCUACCUUGGACUCACUAAGCUUUCCAAGGACCACAUAUGCCUUUCUUUUUUUAAAAAAAAACAAGACAGAAAGCCAGCUAUUCCCCUUCUCAUAUCUCUUCAUCUUCUUUUUUGUCACGUCCAAAUAACUGUUUACUCUGAAUUAGAGGCCAAUUAGUAAACCCUAGAGGUAAUGAAGGAACAUCUGAAGAUCAGUUGCAGUCACAGCAAUACUUGUGACAUCACAGAAGAAGCUUUGGCUCUCAAGGAUACCAGAGAUUUUUCAUGAAUGAACUAAUGAUGAUGUCUCUAAGACCUGCCAUGGCCUAUCUGCUAAAGAGCUUUCCUUACAUUGACUAGAUUUGAGGGUGCCCUUUCCAGUUCAAGGUAAACUGGAGGUUCACUUGGGAUGCAAUGAAGAGCCCCUGACAAGCAUAUUCUUCAAAGCCUCCCAUGGUGUAACUGAAGAUACGAUAUGUGAAGUAGCCCUAGCUUGCCUGCUCAAGAGGUGUCCUUUCACAUGCAGAGGAAUGUGUAGAUGGACAUAUAUUUGAAUAAGAUACUGAACCUAAGACUACUGCAUUAGAGCCUCGUACAAGACUUCUAAGACUGUUGACUGCCUACCAUGGAUAUUCAGGUGUGUAUUCUUUACUGUGAUUUUCAGUUUGGAGUUGCUGAAGUAGUGUGUGGCUGGAAUGUUCUAUAAUUUCCAAGGUAUCAAUCAACCUUCAACUUCUGCUCAAUAGUACUCCAGACAUAAGAGGAAGAGAAGCUAUGCACAUUCCAUACAGUCCAGGGGAGAUCCUAUUUCACCCUUAUACUUUAAAACAUCAAAAAUCUAUCACCUUUUCCUGGAGGGACAGCAAAAAUUCCUCUUCUGCACACAGGGAAAUUAGAUAUUCCUCCACCUAUUCAAAGGAAUCUGAGGAUCCUCUUUUCAUUUAUAUGAUUUUUUAAUUUAAGUUUCAAAUAUACCAUUUCCUGGUUUCCUGUUCAUACGUCAUCUAUCUGCUCUCACUCCUUCUUCGAUAAUGGUGUUCCCAUCCACAUCAUCCACCCGUCUAAUCUUUCUCACCUUCCUUAUAUUAAGAGUCCACAUUUGGAAGGAUUAAGAGCUUUUCCUCCCCUUGUUGCCCAAAAAGGCCAUCUUGUGCUACAUAUACAUCUACAGCCAUGAGUCAAUCCAUGUAUAUACUUUGGGUGAUGCUUUACUCCCUGGGGCCUUUCGUUGUUGGGCAUUGUUGUCCUAUGAGGUUGCAAGCCCCUUCAGGUCUUUCAACCGCUUCUCUAAUUCCUGCAACUGGUGUUCCAUUUUCAGAUUAAUGUUUUGCUGCUAGCAUUCAACUAUGAAUUUGACCUGCUCUCGCUGUGUCUCUCAGGGACAUCUAUAUCCAGUUCCAGUCAGCAUGCACUUCUUAGCGUCAAUAAUCUUAUAUACUUUUGGUGACUGUAUAUAUGUAUAUGACCCACAGGUGGGGCAUGAAUUCCUUCAGUCUCUACUUCUACCUUUGCCUCCACAUAAACUCCCGUGAAUGUUUUUUGUUCCGCCGUUUAAGAAGGAGUGCAGCUUGCAUAAUUUGAUCAUUCUUCUUGAACAUCAUGUGGUCUGUGGAUUAUAUCUUGCCGAAUUCGAACUUUUGGGCUAAAAUGCACUUAUCAGAGAGUGCAUACUAUGUGUCCUUUUCUGUGAUUGGGUUACCUCACUAAGGGUGACGCUUUCUAGGUCAAUCCAUUUUCUUAUGAGUUUCAUGAAUUAAUUGAUUUUAA